CCCUCCUGCCCGCUCUCCCUUUUCCCGGCCCUUGGCACCACGUGGGGGCGAGACUGAGAGGUUCUUACCACGUGGGAAUCAGCCAGUUAGACGGUCCCCGGGUAUCGCCAGAUCUGCCAGGCGCCCUCCUCUUGGACUGGGUUUCUGGGGCCGACAAGACGAACAUGGGCGACCCUUGCCUGCUUUGAACCCCAGCUUCUGCGGGAGUGGAUCUCAGAGUUUGGUGGAGAAUAUGGAUUCCAGCCCCAGAAAUACUCAGCAAUUCACAUGGUUCACCCAAGACUCCAGGUUCAGACUUCUGGUGCACCCUUAAAUCCAAGUGAGAGGUCACCUUCCUCGCUGACAACGAGGGCCCAAUCCCAGCGAUACCCGGAGGUGCACCAGGUGGGUCAGAGCCACAGCUUUGUUCCAUCCUGGUAAGCUGUGACCCCUGACCCCUCAGGAGCGUUCACUCCCCUCACUGCCCUCGCCACCGUUCUCCCCUGAAAUCUACCUCUGAGCCUGCCUGAUAAAGGGACAAAAACCCUCUGCAGCCUCCGACUGACCCCAAUCCCCACCGGCUGAACGCUGCAGCUUCUCCUCUUGAGCCGAAGCCUGGCCGCUUCCCUACUGUCUCCUUACUCCAUCCCGAUCUCCCCUUGGCUGCCAGGAGCAUCAUCCUAAAAGUUACAUGAAUAAAUACUCAGCCC